rnacentral:rRNA from 1 species
AGCGAACGCUGGCGGCAGGCCUAACACAUGCAAGUCGAACGAACUCUUCGGAGUUAGUGGCGGACGGGUGAGUAACACGUGGGAACGUGCCUUUAGGUUCGGAAUAACUCAGGGAAACUUGUGCUAAUACCGAAUGUGCCCUUCGGGGGAAAGAUUUAUCGCCUUUAGAGCGGCCCGCGUCUGAUUAGCUAGUUGGUGAGGUAAAGGCUCACCAAGGCGACGAUCAGUAGCUGGUCUGAGAGGAUGAUCAGCGACAUUGGGACUGAGACACGGACCACACUCCUACGGGCGGCAGCAGUGGGGUAUCUUGCGCAAGGGGCGAGAGCCUGACGCAGCCAUGCCGCGUGAAUGAUGAAGGUCUUAGGAUUGUAAAAUUCUUUCACCGGGGACGAUAAUGACGGUACCCGGAGAAGAAGCCCCGGCUAACUUCGUGCCAGCAGCCGCCAUAA